CGACCUCAGAGCAGGCGAGACUACCCGCUGAAUUUAAGCAUAUUACUAAGCGGAGGAAAAGAAACUAACAAGGAUUCCCCCAGUAGCGGCGAGCGAACAGGGAAGAGUCCAGCACCGAACCCCGCAGGCUGCCGCCUGUCGUGGCAUGUGGUGUUUGGGAGGGUCCACUACCCCGACGCCUCGCGCCGAGCCCAAGUCCAACUUGAAUGAGGCCACGGCCCGUAGAGGGUGCCAGGCCCGUAGCGGCCGGUGCGAGCGUCGGCGGGACCUCUCCUUCGAGUCGGGUUGCUUGAGAGUGCAGCUCCAAGUGGGUGGUAAACUCCAUCUGAGACUAAAUAUGACCACGAGACCGAUAGCGAACAAGUACCGUGAGGGAAAGUUGAAAAGAACUUUGAAGAGAGAGUUCAAAAGUACGUGAAACCGUUCUGGGGUAAACGUGAGAAGUCCGAAAGGUCGAACGGGUGAGAUUCACGCCCAUCCGGCCACUGGCCUCCGCCCUCGGCAGAUGGGGCCGGCCGCCCGCGCGGAGCAAUCCGCGGCGGGGUCGUGUCCGGUUGCCUUUCCACUCGCCGCGGGGUGGGGCCGUUCCGGUGUGCGGUGGGCCGCACUUCUCCCCUAGUAGGACGUCGCGACCCGCUGGGUGCCGGCCUACGGCCCGGGUGCGCAGCCUGUCCUUCCGCGGGCCUCGGUUCGCGUCUGUUGGGCAGAGCCCCGGUGUCCUGGCUGGCUGCCCGGCGGUAUAUCUGGAGGAGUCGAUUCGCCCCUUUGGGCGCUCGGGCUCCCGGCAAGCGCGCGCGGUUCUUCCCGGAUGACGGACCUACCUGGCCCGGCCCCGGACCCGCGCCGCUGUUGGCUCGGGAUGCUCUCGGGCGGAAUAAUCGCUCCCGUCAGCGGCGCUUCAGCUUUGGACAAUUUCACGACCCGUCUUGAAACACGGACCAAGGAGUCUAACAUGUGCGCGAGUCAUUGGGCUGUACGAAACCUAAAGGCGUAAUGAAAGUGAAGGUCUCGCCUUGCGCGGGCCGAGGGAGGAUGGGGCUUCCCCGCCCUUCACGGGGCGGCGGCCUCCGCACUCCCGGGGCGUCUCGUCCUCAUUGCGAGGUGAGGCGCACCUAGAGCGUACACGUUGGGACCCGAAAGAUGGUGAACUAUGCCUGGCCAGGACGAAGUCAGGGGAAACCCUGAUGGAGGUCCGUAGCGAUUCUGACGUGCAAAUCGAUCGUCGGAGCUGGGUAUAGGGGCGAAAGACUAAUCGAACCAUCUAGUAGCUGGUUCCCUCCGAAGUUUCCCUCAGGAUAGCUGGUGCUCGUACGAGUCUCAUCCGGUAAAGCGAAUGAUUAGAGGCCUUGGGGCCGAAACGACCUCAACCUAUUCUCAAACUUUAAAUGGGUGAGAUCUCCGGCUUGCUUGAUAUGCUGAAGCCGCGAGCAAACGACUCGGAUCGGAGUGCCAAGUGGGCCACUUUUGGUAAGCAGAACUGGCGCUGUGGGAUGAACCAAACGCCGAGUUAAGGCGCCCGAAUCGACGCUCAUGGGAAACCAUGAAAGGCGUUGGUUGCUUAAGACAGCAGGACGGUGGCCAUGGAAGUCGGAAUCCGCUAAGGAGUGUGUAACAACUCACCUGCCGAAGCAACUAGCCCUGAAAAUGGAUGGCGCUGAAGCGUCGUGCCUAUACUCGGCCGUCAGUCUGGCAGUCAUGGCCGGUCCUUGCGGCCGGCCGCGAAGCCCUGACGAGUAGGAGGGUCGCGGCGGUGGGCGCAGAAGGGUCUGGGCGUGAGCCUGCCUGGAGCCGCCGUCGGUGCAGAUCUUGGUGGUAGUAGCAAAUACUCCAGCGAGGCCCUGGAGGGCUGACGCGGAGAAGGGUUUCGUGUGAACAGCCGUUGCACACGAGUCAGUCGAUCCUAAGCCCUAGGAGAAAUCCGAUGUUGAUGGGGGCCGUCAUAGCAUGAUGCGCUUUGUGCUGGCCCCCGUUGGGCGAAAGGGAAUCCGGUUCCUAUUCCGGAACCCGGCAGCGGAACCGAUACAAGUCGGGCCCCUCUUUUAGAGAUGCUCGUCGGGGUAACCCAAAAGGACCCGGAGACGCCGUCGGGAGAUCGGGGAAGAGUUUUCUUUUCUGCAUGAGCGUUCGAGUUCCCUGGAAUCCUCUAGCAGGGAGAUAGGGUUUGGAACGCGAAGAGCACCGCAGUUGCGGCGGUGUCCCGAUCUUCCCCUCGGACCUUGAAAAUCCGGGAGAGGGCCACGUGGAGGUGUCGCGCCGGUUCGUACCCAUAUCCGCAGCAGGUCUCCAAGGUGAAGAGCCUCUAGUCGAUAGAAUAAUGUAGGUAAGGGAAGUCGGCAAAUUGGAUCCGUAACUUCGGGAUAAGGAUUGGCUCUGAGGAUCGGGGCGUGUCGGGCUUGGUCGGGAAGUGGGUCAGCGCUAACGUGCCGGGCCUGGGCGAGGUGAGUGCCGUAGGGGUGCCGGUAAGUGCGGGCGUUUAGCGCGGGCGUGGUCUGCUCUCGCCGUUGGUCGGCCUCGUGCUGGCCGGCGGUGCAGGAUGCGCGCGCCUGCGCGGCGUUCGCGCCCCGGUGCUUCAACCUGCGUGCAGGAUCCGAGCUCGGUCCCGUGCCUUGGCCUCCCACGGAUCUUCCUUGCUGCGAGGCCGCGUCCGCCUUAGCGUGCUCCUCCGGGGGCGCGCGGGUGCGCGGAUUCUCUUCGGCCGCCAUUCAACGAUCAACUCAGAACUGGCACGGACUGGGGGAAUCCGACUGUCUAAUUAAAACAAAGCAUUGCGAUGGCCCUAGCGGGUGUUGACGCAAUGUGAUUUCUGCCCAGUGCUCUGAAUGUCAACGUGAAGAAAUUCAAGCAAGCGCGGGUAAACGGCGGGAGUAACUAUGACUCUCUUAAGCACGGAGCACGCUGUAUCAACGGACUUCUCGAUGGCACACUCUUGCAUCAGCCACCAUCCAUCCCAGGGCUGAUUGAGUUUUGGACAGACCUCUUCUCUCCACCACGUGUCAGGUCUCGACCUCCGCGUGGGGAGGGUCUGUCCGAUGAGCUGCUGCCAUUCUCGAAGAGGGUGCCCUUCCGUGACCUCUGGGCUCCCAUUUCUGCAGAAGAAGCCACCGCUGCUCUCCCGCCUCGCAAUUCUGCUGCAGGUCCUGACGGCCUCACGCCGACACAACUGCGUCGCCUUCCCCGGGAGGUUCUCCUCAAGAUCCUUAAUUUCCUCCUCCUUUCCCGCUCCCUUCCUUCCCGACUCCUUCAGGCCAGAACAACCCUGCUGCCCAAGAAGACCGCCGCAGCAUCCCCUGCUGACUUUCGUCCGAUCACAGUGUGCUCGGUGCUGACCAGAGCCUUUCACAAGGUUCUGGUUGGCCGCCUGAUGCGCUACUGUGUGUUGGACGGUCGCCAGCGGGCUUUCAUCCCUCAGGAUGGGAUGCUUCACAACACCUUUCUUCUAGAUCUGGCGAUGACCCAGGCGUGCCGAGCGGCCGGCUCGCUGUACUUGGCAUCUCUGGAUGUGUCAAAGGCCUUCGACUCGCUUGCCCAUGGUGCCCUUGGCCCGGUGCUAAGGGCCCACGGUUUGCCGGUCGAGUUUGUUGACUACAUCCAGGGAUGCUAUGAGGCGGGAUCGACGGUUAUCUGCGCGGAUGGGAAGUCGUCAGAUCUAGUGCGGCCUUCGAGGGGUGUUCGGCAGGGUGACCCGCUGUCUCCUAUCCUCUUCAACAUGUCCAUUGACAUUCUCUUGUCUCGCCUGCCUGCUCAUAUUGGUGCACGCAUUCUUGGACGGCGGAUAAAUGCGGCUGCAUUCGCCGAUGACCUCCUGCUGUUUGCCGAGACUCGUGAUGGGUUGCAGGAACUUCUCACCAUCGCCACGUCGGCCCUGGGGGAUCUCGGGCUCGAGGUCAACCCACGGAAGUGUUUUUCUCUCGCCCUUGUCUCAUCAGGCCGGGAGAAGAAAACCAAGGUCGACGAGACUGUCAUCUUUCGUGCUGGGGGGAACAACAUCCCAGCACUGGCGAUGGGAGAUACUUUCAAGUAUCUAGGCCUGCAAUUUUCCACGUGCGGACGCAGUCUUUUUCAUCCCCGGCGGGAGGUCGAGAUGCAGAUGAACAUCAUCAAGCGUGCACCACUCAAACCUCAGCAGCGGCUUUUUGCCCUUCGUUCUGUUAUCCUCCCGGGUAUUUUCCAUGGUCUCGCCCUGGGGAGGACUCGUCUUGGGGCCCUCUCUUCCCUUGACGUCUGUGUUCGUGCAGCUGUUCGAUCUUGGCUGCACCUGCCAGCAGAUACGCCGGUCGGUUACUUCCACGCCCCCAUCUCUCAUGGGGGCUUGGGGGUGCCUGCAGCCCGCUGGCUGGGCCCUCUUCUUCGUAGGAGAAGAUUGGCGAAGAUGCAGGGACUGGGUGCGGCAGCGGACGAUUCUUCCCAAGACUUAAUCCAGCGAGAAAUUCACCAACUGGACCACGCCCUGCAAUGGCAGGGGGAAGUUAUAAAGUCCAGUUACCAGUUGGGCCGGUGUUGGGCCGACCGCCUGCACUCGUCGGUCGACGGCGCUGCGCUACGAGAGUCUGCCCGAACACCAGGGCAGCACUGCUGGGUCUCCAAUACGCGGCAGUUCGUAACCGGCCGCGACUACAUCUCAUGCCUGCGUGUCCGGAUUAAUGCCUUACCUACUCGGGCACGGCUGCUACGUGGGAGGGAAGGUGACACCAGAUGCCGCGCUGGCUGCAAUGCCACGGAGACUGCCAACCAUGUCAUUCAACAGUGCUGGAGAAGCGACGGGGCUCGCAUUGCUCGACACGAUGCCAUGGCGUCCUAUCUGGCGCGAGACCUCCGCCGCAGAGGCUACAAUGUUCUGCUAGAGCCUCACCUUCGUACAUCUGAAGGCCUGAAAAAGCCAGACAUCGUGGCGGUCCGUGACACUGCAGCGUUUGUCAUCGAUGCGCAGGUGGUUGGCGACAACCGUGAUCUUGGUAGGUGUCACCGCGAGAAAGUAGCCGUCUACGACAAGCAGGCAGUUU